UGACCAUCCACUUCUAUGUUUGC
rnacentral:misc_RNA from 1 species